rnacentral:lncRNA from 1 species
CUCAAAUUUUGUUUACACCAAUUGUACCUCACCAAGAACAUCAGCAAAAAUUCACGGAAAAGUUGUUCUGAAACAUUCCAUUGUCUGUUGCCGAUUCUGAGGGGAUAAGAGCUAGUCCAGUUCUUACAUCACAAUAUAUUCAUGUCAUGAAAGUGUUUCCUCUGGAUAGUUUAUAAGAUACAGAACUCACCAUCUCAGAUCCUGAGACAUUUCAUGGCUACUACCUGAAGUUACAAAGCAAUUUGCCACCACAUAGGCUGUAAGAGAAACAAACUGUCAUUCGAAACUCCUUGUAAUUCCUUUUGAAUCUCAUCAGGCUCUGGUGCAUGGUUUAGCCCAGAAGAAAAGCUGUUCCUGAAUGAAAAUGCUAGAAUCUUCCGACAGCCUAUAUGGGAAUGCUGUGGAUAAACAGAGGAUCCCUUUAUCACACGUAGCUUGUGAGCUGUGUCCUGCUUAAACCAUAACUGUCUACAAAUAAUACUCUUCAACUGAAAGUAGAUAUGCUCCCUUAUCUGCUAGAAAUACUCUUGUUCAGUAUAAUAAGAAGAGGCACCAUUCCCUACAGAGUCAUGCUUGGCUCCUCAGGUCAGGCCAUGCCUACUUACAUGUGCCAUUAUGUUACACUACAUUUACUUAAACAUAAGAUGAGAGAAUUGGGACAUCUCAUUGUUACAAGAAGGUCACAGUGUGCACUUACAGGAACAUGUUUUAUGGAAAAUCUUGGCUUAGUAUGAUGCCUACAGUAGACACUUAAACUUGUGAAUGAAGCAAUGAAUGAAAACAUGAAUAUACGUGUUACCAAAAAAAAUGUUUUUCUUUGGUUAUUUCCUACAUUAACCUUUGAUGGAAGCUAAGAGUGUAUCAGUAAAUAAUGGCUUGUUCAGGCAUUUGUGGGGAGUGACAUUAGCACAAUAUAAGCAGGUCUGUAACUUCCAAGGUAGAGACAAAGCAUUCUCCUGCUAAUGAAAACAUAUCAUUUUUGAUGUAGUCGGAAAAGUUCAGUAAGAAAGUGUUGUCUGUGUGCAUAUGUGUGUUUAUAUAACGGCAGAAGGAAGAAUGUACUGGGCCACCCAGGGUGUCCACAACACACUCAUUGCAGAAGCUACAGGAGCCUAGGAAGAGGCUCUUCCAACAUAGAUACAAUGGCAUAGUGCUGUAGUCCGCUGUGGUUCUGAGAUUUUAUCCCCAUAUAAAGUCAUUAUUUAUAUAUAGCUAUAAUUUCACAAAAAUAUACUGUAUUUU